AGUAACACGUAUCCAACCUGCCGUCUACUCUUGGACAGCCUUCUGAAGGAAGAUUAAUACAAGAUGGCAUCAUGAGUCCGCAUGUUCACAUGAUUAAAGGUAUUCCGGUAGACGAUGGGGAUGCGUUCCAUUAGAUAGUAGGCGGGGUAACGGCCCACCUAGUCUUCGAUGGAUAGGGGUUCUGAGAGGAAGGUCCCCCACAUUGGAACUGAGAUACGGUCCAAACUCCUACGGGAGGCAGCAUG
rnacentral:rRNA from 1 species